AGAAAGCAUGUCAAACUUGAGGCCCACAAUGAGUAUUUUUGCGGCCCAGUCAAUAUAAUAGUACGCUGACACCAUUCUU